CCUGGUUGAUCCUGCCAGUAGUCAUAUGCUUGUCUCAAAGAUUAAGCCAUGCAUGUGUAAGCACACACUGUUUUAAAAGUGAAGCCGCGAAUGGCUCAUUACAACAGCCACAGUUUAUUAGAACUUACAUACAUGGAUAACUGUGGUAAUUCUAGAGCUAAUACAUGCUAAAAAUCCCGACUGUUUGGAAGGGAUGUAUUUAUUAGAUAAAAAAUCAAUGCUUUUCGGAGCUCUUUGAUGAUUCAUAAUAACUUUUCGAAUCGCAUGGCCUUGUGCUGGCGAUGGUUCAUUCAAAUUUCUGCCCUAUCAACUUUCGAUGGUAGGAUAGUGGCCUACCAUGGUUUCAACGGGUAACGGGGAAUAAGGGUUCGAUUCCGGAGAGGGAGCCUGAGAAACGGCUACCACAUCCAAGGAAGGCAGCAGGCGCGCAAAUUACCCACUCCCAGCUUGGGGAGGUAGUGACGAAAAAUAACGAGACGAUUCUCGUUUGAGAAACGUUAUCGAAAUGAGUACGCUUUACACACGCUAACGAGUAGCAAUUGGAGGGCAAGUCUGGUGCCAGCAGCCGCGGUAAUUCCAGCUCCAAUAGCGUAUAUUAAAGUUGCUGCGGUUAAAACGCUCGUAGUUGAAUUGUGGUCUUAGACAACAGUCCCCCUAUAUAGGUGUGGCACGGUUGCUCGAGAUCUUCAUUCGUGGUUGCUGUUGUUGCUCUUCAUUGAGUGUCAAUGGUGCCUCGAGAUUUUACUUUGAAAAAAUUAGAGUGCUCAAAGCAGGUUGUGAUGCCUGAAUAAUGGUGCAUGGAAUAAUAGAAUACGAUCUCGGUUCUAUUUUGUUGGUUUUCGAACCGGAGAUAAUGAUUGAAAGGAACAGACGGGGGCAUUCGUAUUGCUGCGUUAGAGGUGAAAUUCUUGGAUCGCAGCAAGAUGAACAAUUGCGAAAGCAUUUGCCAAGAAUGUUUUCAUUAAUCAAGAACGAAAGUUAGAGGUUCGAAGGCGAUCAGAUACCGCCCUAGUUCUAACGGUAAACUAUGCCAACCAGCGAUUCGCCGAAGUUCAUUUAAGACUCGGCGAGCAGCUUCCGGGAAACCAAAGUGUUUCGGUUCCGGGGGAAGUAUGGUUGCAAAGCUGAAACUUAAAGGAAUUGACGGAAGGGCACCACCAGGAGUGGAGCCUGCGGCUUAAUUUGACCCAACACGGGAAAACUCACCCGGCCCGGACACUGAAAGGAUUGACAGAUUGACAGCUCUUUCUUGAUUCAGUGGGUAGUGGUGCAUGGCCGUUCUUAGUUGGUGGAGCGAUUUGUCUGGUUAAUUCCGAUAACGAACGAGACUCUACCCUAUUAAAUAGUGACAGUAUUGCAUAUUCUGUGCUGAUCACUUCUUAGAGGGACUGGCAAAUUGAAAGCUGCACGAAAAAGAGCAAUAACAGGUCUGUGAUGCCCUUCGAUGUCCGGGGCUGCACGCGCGCUACAAUGAAAGCGUCAACGUGAGUUACGUCCUUACCUGAAAAGGUUUGGCAAUCGAUUGAAACGUUUUCUUGAAUGGAAUAGGGAAUUGCAAUUGUUUCCCUUGAACGAGGAAUUCCCAGUAAGCGUGAGUCAUUAGCUCGCGUUGAUUACGUCCCUGCCCUUUGUACACACCGCCCGUCGCUACUACCGAUUGGAUGAUUUAGUGAGGUGUUUUGACUAGCGCCUGUAGUCGGAUGUAUAUUCGGCUUCGCGCCGGGAAAUUUCCCAAACCAAAUCAUCUAGAGGAAGUAAAAGUCGUAACAAGGUUUCCGUAGGUGAACCUGCGGAAG
rnacentral:rRNA from 1 species